rnacentral:rRNA from 1 species
UACGUAGGGGGCAAGCGUUAUCCGGAUUUACUGGGUGUAAAGGGAGCGUAGACGGACUGGCAAGUCUGAUGUGAAAGGCGGGGGCUCAACUCCUGGACUGCAUUGGAAACUGUUAGUCUUGAGUGCCGGAGAGGUAAGCGGAAUUCCUAGUGUAGCGGUGAAAUGCGUAGAUAUUAGGAGGAACACCAGUGGCGAAGGCGGCUUACUGGACGGUAACUGACGUUGAGGCUCGAAAGCGUGGGGAGCAAACAGG